AUUAUUAUUACCGUCAUUCCAGUCAUGGCGGGUUAGCCGACGUUUGCCAAAAACCCGCCCUGGAGGCGGGUUUC
rfam:Pseudomonas syringae pv. syringae B728a, complete genome.